CUCAGAAUAACUGUUCCUCAAACUGAGGCACAACACCGUCCAGCAGCCAGGGAGCGGAACAGCAGCUCUACGAAGAGCAAGGGGAACCACGUUCUUCCAAGCCCCUCAACAGCUUUGCUUCCAUCUGUGAGAACCAUGCCCGGUGCCUAACUUAGCAAAGGGAGUGCCCCUCCCCCCAUGACCUGUGCUGCUCCCAGACCGGGGAGUGGGAGCGGAGUCCGCCUUCUCUGAGGCCCAGGAAGGAAGAGGAUAGAAACAAAGCCAAGGUCCAGGAGUCACACCGAGAAGGCGGACAGGGACCCCUGGAACAACUGGAGCCGGGGUGACAGAGAUGGCGGCCAAGAUGGAGGUGGCCUGGUUCCCCGAAACCCCGCACAGAGGACAGCCGCUCAGAAUGCCACUGAGCUGCAUUGGACAGUAAGGUUGCCUCAGCCUUCCCCAAGGACAAGGGCCAGAGGGCUGGACACUUCCAUCCUGCCUACCGCAGCAAGAACCACAGCAGCUCAGACGCCCAGACCUGAGCUGACCUGACUCACGGAGGCUACCCAGAGGCUACCCAGAAGCCACCAGGGGGUGGCACCAGAAAUACAGGAGUUUAACAGCCUUCAGGGCAAACUUCAGUUAGCGAGAGACAGAAAGUAGGAAGGUGCUGGCAGGGAAGGAGCUCUUGUCUCCUCUGGGUCUCCAGAGAAAUCUCGCUUGACCCCACCGCAGCUACCCCACAGCUCAGGAGCUCCGUCCAGUAUCUGCCUUUCGGUCCUCCCUGCCUCUCUUCCCUCCUCCCCCUCACUCUGGUGGCCCUGGGUGAAGCCAGCCAAUAAAGCACCAGUGCAAAAGCUUGGCUGCAGGCUCUGUUU